UCGAAGGUAGCAUAAUCAGUAGUCUUUUAAUUGAAGGCUGGUAUGAAUGGUUGGACGAAGUAUUAACUGUUUCAAAAUAAAUUAAAAUAAAAUUUUAUUUUUUAGUAAAAAAGCUAAAAUUUAUUUAAAAGACGAGAAGACCCUAUAAAUCUUUAUAUAAUUAUAUGUUAUAAUUUUUUAGAUUUAUUUUAUUAUAAUAAUUAAUUAUAUUUUAUUGGGGUGAUAUUAAAAUUUAUUAAACUUUUAAUUAUUAAAAUCAUUAAUUUUUGAUUAAUUGAUCCGUUAUUAACGAUUAAAAAAUUAAGUUACUUUAGGGAUAACAGCGUAAUUUUUUUGGAGAGUUCAUAUCGAUAAAAAAGAUUGCGACCUCGAUGUUGGAUUAA
rnacentral:rRNA from 1 species